GCGGUAGCUCAGAUGGUAGAGCUGUGGACUUGUAAUCGAAGGGCUGAGUGUUCGAUACCCACCCGGGCCA